UUUCAGUCACCUUAGUCAAGAGGGAACUGGAUAAGGUAUACACUGUGCUUUUAGUUUUCCUAGCCUUUUGGCAGUUUUGAAUACUGUUUGCUUUACUAACCUGUUGAACUGCCUGCCUGAGUGGAAGAUCGGCCAAGAGGGCAAGGCAGAGAAGCCCGAGAUGUUGUCAGAACUGGAAGAUCAGUUGAGGAGAUGUUAAAAACAGGCCAGCUGGGCUAGGUGAGCGGCUGAUUGAGCUGGAGGAGGCAGGGGAAGAGAGCAGCAGAGCCUGUUGCAGCUGCCUUUACGAACUGGGACGAACCGGUUCAUGCCCAUCUCUACUUAGGGGACAUCGUUUGACGUCAUAGAUUUUGAGGCUGAAAAUAAGAUUUUGAUGUGUUGCUACCUUACCCCCGAUAUUUCUUAAUAAUAUCAUGAGAAAGGUCAUCCAAAGCUUUGCAUUUCAUGCCACCAAUAUGCUGAUGAUCCCUGUCUCCUGAUAUCCCUUCCCCUGCAUCUGGCAUUUGGAGGUCCCUUCCUUCUAAGCCUGGAGAUUAUACCUCCCCACUUUGUAACCUACGGUGGACUUUUCCUCCCGAAAUCUCUCCAGUCCCUUGUGAAAGGCAUCUAGGCCAGAGGCCGCCCCCCACAUCCUGUGGCAAGGAGUUCCGCAGACCAACAGCACACACGAUCAAGAAAUAUUUUAUUUUCUCCUGAUUGCAGAUUUUUUCCACCCUGAUUCUCCACGAAAACGCCCUCUGCCUGCCUGCCUGCAUGCAUGCACAACCUCCGCCGUGGUCUACAAGAGAGUAAAGACGGGGAGCGCAAAACACACAACCGGCCCCCGGCCCACCUGUAAAUACUGAGGAUUGGGGGAGGGAGGGGCGGAGCGGGAGGAAGCGAGGAGGGGGCGUGGUGUUGAGGCUGUCCCUCCUGCUAUUGGGCCUUUUCUAGUUGAGGGCGGGGCUUGCGCGCCCGGGAAAGGUGGUUCUCGGGCUUUUGCGUCCCGCCGGGAACCGAGGCCGUGUCGAGGAGUUCCGGUGGGGGCUUCCUUCCCUCCUCGAGCGAGCCUGCCCGGCGUGAGCCCGCUUUUCAUCCAUCCGAUGCCGCACGGAGUCUGUCCCCAUCGUCUGCCUCCUGAACGCUCGUUUGGGGCUCCCGUUUAAACUCUUACGGCUUCCCAAAGGGUUUAUUUCUUUGGGAGGGGGAACUAUUUCUGUCCUCAGAGUCCCCACCACACAUCUCCUUGUUUAUAGAUGUAGAUGGGAUUCCGCGAAGAUCAAUACCUGGAGAAGGACUUUGUGGUUAGUAGAAGGUUCCUGCUUGUAGUAGCGUAACCAUUGUUCUGUGCUGCAAUACUGGGGCCACUCAUUAGAAGUUGUCCUAAUACAAAAUUAAAUGUCUGUUGGUUUUGUAGUAUCUGGAAUAAAUUUAAGGCAGCCAUGAAGAGUCUGCCUUUC
rnacentral:lncRNA from 1 species